rnacentral:lncRNA from 1 species
UUCAGAACUGUGCUGCAUUUGCUUUGAGCAAGUGUGCACGAUAGAAGUCAAAGACUGUGGUCACCAAAUGUGUGCACAAUGCACACUUGCACUUUGCUGUCACAACAAACCGAACCCAACGACCUCAACCGUGAAUCCACCGGUCUGUCCGUUCUGUAGAAGUGUCAUCGCACGGUUAGUAGUCGCCCGGAACAACAACAAGGACGAUAAGAGCAAGAGCCAAGAUGAAGUUGGUGAUGUAAGCUCCUCAAAACUAAGGAAGCAUAGAAAAUCGAUAAACCUUGGAGAAGAAGGCAGCAGCUUCAUGGGACUAUCAAGCAUUGGAUCGUUCGGAAAGGUUACCGGCCGUGGCUCUGGAAGGAUCGUAGCCGACAAUGAGCUGAUGGACAAACCGAUUUCCUGAGGAUUGAUUUCACUUAAAGACAAGACAUUAUGGGUGAAAUUGUGAGAAUGCAUAGAUGAAUUUAUGUACUGUAAUAUGAUCUUUUGAUGUAGCGUACAUCCUCUUACGCUUUGGUUUUGGUUUUCUUUCCUUUUCCUAUUAAUGUUAAGUUUUGAUCUAUUUCCUUUUAAGAUUAGGUUUUCUAUAUCAUUAUAUAUAGUAUCAUCUCGGCUUUGUGAGGGAUACGACUUUUUGAAUUAUUGAUUAAUAAACUAGAGCUUUUGUGUUAACAAACUCUUGAAACCUUACUUCCGGGCAUUCUCUAAGAAUUCAACGGCUUUAAGAAGGCAUAGAUAGCGGGCAUUCUCAGAAUUCAACGAUAUCUUUGCAUUAUCGGUUACUAGACGGUACUUCCGCUCCGUCAAUUGGUAUCAGAGACCUUUUAAUUACGUUCCAAUCGUGAUUAUCGAUCUUCGGUUACAAUGGCACCUCGUCCAAACGAAUGGACACAGAUGCAACAGUUCCUGGAAGAUUUUCAAGAAAAUUUUCAAGACAACAUGAGACGGACGAUGGCUGAAGCAAUUCAGUCCGGAGUUCAAGCAGGCGUCCAAGCCGCACUUGCCGCCAACGCCGCAAACGCAGCCAAUGAUCGACACCCUGCCAAUGCAGCACAAGGCGCACACGCACCUCCAGCUCAACGGCAACUUCGUCACGACAAUCCCGUCUUUGACGAUCACGAAGAGGACAACGAUGAGGAGAAUCCAUUCGCUGAUGGAAAUCACCGCAAUCGUCACCGUCCAGAGCAACACAACAGACACAACGAGGAUACCCGUUGGAUGUCAGGGGUUAAAAUUGAUAUCCCAGAAUACCAUGGCGGUUCGCAACCGGAAGAUCUUCUUGACUGGUUUGUUACUGUCGAUGAAUUCAUCGAAUUCAAAGAAGUUCCAGAACAGAAGAGAGUACCGCUUGUAACAACCAGAUUCCGUGGUCAUGCUGCCUCAUGGUGGAGUCAAAUUAAAACUUCACGGAUUCGCCGUGGAAAGGAAAAGAUAACAUCAUGGGAUAAACUCAAAAAACAUAUGCGGAAAACUUUUAUCCCAUAUAACUUUGAGCGUCUCUUAUUCCAGAAGUUUCAUAAUAUACGUCAAGGGUCACGUUCCGUCGAAGAAUAUUCUAAUGAAUUCUAUCAGAUGUUAACUCGAAUAGAUGUUCAUGACUCAGAAGAUCAGCUGGUGGCUCGCUAUAUCGCAGGGCUACGGCAACAAUUGCAGACCAUGCUACACCAGUUCGACCCUUGUUCCGUCUCUGAAGCUCGUCAGCGGGCCCUGCUCAUCGAACAACAGUCACGCCUCAGCACUAACCAGUGGUCAGGAAAUUCACGUGGUCGCAACACAACAACUCCCGACGAUUCCAAAAACUCGACGACCCGUGAGACCACAACCACUCCACCGAGUUCGCGGCCGACGACUCGACCAGCAGAGGUCGUCGAAGGCCGACCACCACGAACAGGCGCGCUUCGUUGUUUCACCUGUGGUGAACGAGGCCAUAUUCAAACAGCUUGCCCAACUCUUGGACGUCGCGGGUUACUCGCAGCAGAUAAAGAGGGCAUGGGAGAUCCUAUUUACGAUGAUGACGAGGACCUCGAAGAUGAUAUUGAAGAAGACCAGGUCGCAGGAGACACAGGAACUUUCCUUAUGCUUCGAAGAAACUGUUUUGCUCCCCAGACCAGUGAACCAUGGCAGCGCACAUCGUUAUUUUCUUCCACCUGCACGGUGAAAGGAAAGAUAUGCCGGUUUGUAAUUGAUUCAGGAUGUUCGGCUAAUGUGGUUUCAGAGGAAGCUGUCCGAAAACUGAACCUCAAGACGGAAGCUCAUCCACACCCUUACCGCCUACUUUGGAUGCAGACUGGGGCAGAGGUUUACGUGUCACAACGAACACUCAUCUCCCUAUCGAUCGGCUCUUUUUAUAAAGAUGAGCUGUACUGCGAUAUUGCUCCGAUGGAUGUCUCGCAUAUUAUCCUCGGGCGACCGUGGCAGUUUGAUCGUGAAGUCAUUCACAAUGGCAAAACGAACACUAAUUCCUUCAUGUUCCAAGGACGAAAAAUCACUCUGCUUCCAUCACCUGAUACGACUAGUACCGUUGCCACAACCACUACACCGUCGACGUCAAAACAAAAUCUCAUGAUCAUAUCUCGUUCUCAGUUCGAACAAGAACUCCAAGAGACAAGACCUUUAUUUGCGCUGGUCUCCGUUACGCCAACGCCCCCACACCCAACCCCGUUACCAACCGCUUUCGUCCCACUCUUAACAGAAUUCGAAGACCUGUUCCCGGACGAGCUACCAGCGGGAUUACCUCCACUCAGGGACAUUCAACAUCACAUAGACCUCGUCCCAAAUGCGGUUUUGCCUAACCGAGCUCACUAUCGUAUGAGCCCUGAAGAACAUGAAGAACUUCGAAGACAAGUUGAAGACUUGCUAAUCAAGGGGUAUGUACGCGAGAGUCUAAGCCCAUGCGCGGUUCCAGCACUUCUCAUUCCCAAGAAAGACCGAUCAUGGCGUAUGUGUGUAGACAGCCGCGCCAUCAACAAGAUCACUACACGUUAUCGUUUUCCCAUUCCCCGCCUUGAUGAUCUUCUCGACCAAAUCGGCAAGGCAUCUAUAUUCACUAAAUUAGAUCUUAAAAGCGGGUACCAUCAAAUCCGUAUUCGACCAGGGGACGAGUGGAAAACUGCUUUCAAAACUCGAGAGGGCCUAUUUGAGUGGUUAGUAAUGCCGUUUGGAUUAUCUAAUGCACCAAGCACGUUUAUGCGUGUGAUGAAUCAGACCCUUCGGCCCUUUAUUGGUCGUUUUGUCGUGGUUUACUUCGAUGAUAUCCUUAUCUUCAGCACCACAAUGGACGAGCACCUACAUCACCUUCGCGAGGUCUUACUGGCAUUACGAAAGGACAAGCUCUUUAUUGCACGGCAGAAGUGUGAGUUCGGGAGAUCGGACGUUCUCUUCCUCGGGUACGUUGUCUCUGCCGCAGGGCUUCGCGUCGAUCCACUAAAAGUAGAAGCAGUCGCUUCUUGGCCUACACCAACAACAAUCUCGGAGAUCAGGAGCUUUCACGGUUUGGCUUCCUUUUAUCGAAGGUUCAUCCAUAACUUUAGCUCCAUUAUGGCACCUGUUACUGAUUGUAUGAAGGGAGUUUCGUUUUCUUGGACGGAGGACGCAACACGAGCUUUUGCGAUCAUUAAAGAGAAAUUGACGACAGCUCCUAUUCUAGUACUCCCCGACUUUGACGCACCCUUUGAGCUACAUUGUGAUGCUUCAAAACUUGGGGUGGGCGCCGUCCUCUCUCAAUUUGGCCGGCCGGUUGCCUUCUAUAGCGAGAAACUCGCAGGAGCACGCAGUCGUUAUAGCACCUAUGAUAUCGAGUUCUAUGCAAUUGUUCAAGCCAUCAAACAUUGGCGUCACUAUCUGGCUCAUAAGGAGUUCAUCUUGUUCACCGAUCAUGCGGCGUUAAAGUAUUUGGGUACCCAAGAUAAGAUUUCAUCUCGGCAUGCAUCGUGGACGGCGUAUUUGCAACAAUUUACAUUCGUUAUUAAGCAUAAAUCUGGGAAGUUGAACAAAGUCGCGGACGCCUUGAGUCGGCGUCAUGCACUGGUCUCCACCCUUCGUGUUUCCGUCACCGGGUUUGAGUGUUUGUCGGAUUUAUAUCCAACAGACGCUUUCUUCUCACCCAUAUGGAUGGAUCUUACGCAGGGCGUACGUUCGGAUUUUUCUUUGGUCGAUGGAUUUGUCUUUAAAGACAAUCGUUUAUGUGUUCCUACCUGUAGUCUCCGCCUCCAGAUUAUCAAAGAGUUACACGGAGAGGGGCAUAUAGGCAGAGAUCGCACUCUCAAGCUUGUGGCGGAAUCUUAUUUCUGGCCGACGUUAAGACGAGAUGUCGAGAGGUUUGUGGCUCGUUGCACCUCGUGUCAGCAAGGCAAGGGUCAGGCUUCUAACGCCGGUCUUUAUCUCCCGUUACCAGUUCCAACGCAACCUUGGAGCGAUAUCAGUAUGGAUUUUGUACUCGGUCUUCCUCGAACUCAACGUGGGCAUGAUUCUAUCUUUGUAGUGGUUGAUCGUUUCUCCAAAAUGGCGCACUUUAUUCCUUGUAAGAAGACGACAGAUGCGGUACAGGUCGCUCAACUCUUCUUUCGCGAGGUGUAUAGGCUUCACGGCCUCCCUUUAACUAUAGUCUCAGACCGGGACUCUCGGUUCAUUGGACACUUCUGGCGUUCUCUUUGGAAACUGUUGAAAACCAGUUUAAACAUGAGUUCCGCUUACCAUCCCCAGACUGAUGGUCAGACCGAGGUGGUUAAUCGAAGUUUAGGCAAUAUGUUGCGAUGUUUGGUGGGUGAUAAUCAUCUUCCGCGUUUGAUAACGCAACAAUUGCUCCUCCUGCUCCAAUGGAAGCUUCACCCUCAUGUAUCACCACUGUUCUUAUCACAAUAUUCAGAUCAAAUGUGCCAUUAUAUGAUAAAUACCCUAUUGAGCCAGAGUAAAGACCUCUCGAACACUUCUCAAGCGAGUCAAGAAUCUCGACCGAUCUCAGUUUCGGAGCACCGGUUAUUGACCCGCCAGGGAAAGCUGCUCUUACACAUUCCACUGGACUAAUAUCUGACUUUUUCAGUCCACGGACCGUGCUCACCAUAGUGUGUACUGUUGUAUAUGUUUCCACGUCCAUGAGGUUAGGCACAUGCACUGAGCCAGGCUCACAUACACGACCAAGAUCAUUCCUCAGAAGGUCAACAAUCAUCAGAUUCUCUGCUUGAUUCUUCUCACUGAUUACAUGAACGAAAGGUCACGUCAAUGAAUGUUAAAGUACAAAUAUUCUAGACUCAUUUUGAGUAUCUAACAAUUAAUAUAUAAAUAUUUUUAACAAAACUAAAUUACUAAAUAAAAGAAAAAUGAUGAACCUAUUAUAAACUUGCAAGUGGCAAAAAGAGGUUCAGAGCAAUUCUCAAAUGAGAUGCAAUAUCUCUUUCUCUCACCAACUUUUUUUAUUCUUAUAUUAUAAUGUGCUCUUAUGAUACUUAAAGGUUUUGGUGGUACCUGAGUUUCAAUUGCAGUUUGAGAAGUUCAUCUUCUUCAGGUGUGGAGCCACGAGCCAUAGUACCCUUGAUCGGCUUUGCUUCAAGCACUCCAUGUCUGUCUAGCUUAAGAAACCUUUCAGGGGAUGAACAGCAUAAAGACACAUUUGCAUUAGAGAAGUUGAGAAAAGCUGCAUAUGGAGCUGGAUUCCUCUCUCUGAGGUGUAGAUAGAGUCCCAAAGGAUCAGUGUUCCCUAUCUUCAAUCUGUUCUGAGUAGUGAGACAAAGCUCGUAGCUCUCCCCGUCUUUGAUGUACUGCAUACACCUCUCAACAUCGUUGAUAUACUGCUCUCGUGAUUUGUCAGGGACAAAACUUGUAGAUGAAUCUAUAGGAGGAUUAGUUUGAUCCUUCCACUUUCUUGUAGACGAAACGUUCAUGCUAAUGAGCUUCUCUUCGGUAUCUUUGAGGAAAGAGGUUUCUACGGUGCCAUCUUGGUGAAGAGAUAAUACAUAAACGUCAUCAAGAUGAUGAUCAAUGGCGACAAUGUUAUCUACAAAGAAAAAACAUGCAUCCGGAGCCUUGGAUUUGUGACGGUUAUUUGGCAUUCCACAUUCGACUUUAAUAUCAUACCUGNNNNNNNNNNNNNNNNNNNNNNNNNNNNNNNNNNNNNNNNNNNNNNNNNNNNNNNNNNNNNNNNNNNNNNNNNNNNNNNNNNNNNNNNNNNNNNNNNNNNNNNNNNNNNNNNNNNNNNNNNNNNNNNNNNNNNNNNNNNNNNNNNNNNNNNNNNNNNNNNNNNNNNNNNNNNNNNNNNNNNNNNNNNNNNNNNNNNNNNNNNNNNNNNNNNNNNNNNNNNNNNNNNNNNNNNNNNNNNNNNNNNNNNNNNNNNNNNNNNNNNNNNNNNNNNNNNNNNNNNNNNNNNNNNNNNNNNNNNNNNNNNNNNNNNNNNNNNNNNNNNNNNNNNNNNNNNNNNNNNNNNNNNNNNNNNNNNNNNNNNNNNNNNNNNNNNNNNNNNNNNNNNNNNNNNNNNNNNNNNNNNNNNNNNNNNNNNNNNNNNNNNNNNNNNNNNNNNNNNNNNNNNNNNUAUAUCAACUUUUAUGUUUUUGCGUAUGGAUUUUAAAUAUAUAUUAUUUUGUAUAAUGCAUACUUGCUCUACAACAUUUGCUUGUAAACUAAAAAAACUGUUUUCUAUAUUUUUAAAAGAGAAAAUAUUUAGUUUAGAAUAUAACAUGGACAUAUGUAUUGACUAUAUAUAGAAGUUGAGUGUUAUUUUAAAAUGACAUAUCUAUAGAGGUUUUUCAACCAUUACUUCACUGACACAAAACAUUUAUAACUGUAAAUAUCUUCUUUUAAAAGCAAAACUAAUAAAAACGUGUACAACAAAUGUAUUUUGAUAUAUAUUAUAUGCAUCAAGUUAUAAAGGUUGGAAACAUUGCAAAACUGUUUGGAGCAAAGUUUUUAACUUCACGAUCUUCAUCUUGACGUCAAUUCAGUGUCGGCCCUGGCCACAAGCAGAAGAAGCAUGGGCUUCCAGCCGACACGAUAAUAAGUAUUUUCGCGGCCACAUAUUUAUAAAAAUUGACUUCAGCCUAGUGGUUCUAAGAGAAAUUACCAGUGCUAGAGGUGCUGGGUUCGAUUACCCCUGACUGCAUUCAUUUAUUUUGGCUCCAAAUAUAAAAUGGGACACGUGUCACUCCCAUAACGCACGACUUGAUGACGUGGCUUUACGGGAGAAAGGCGAACAUUUUUUUAUAUAUAUAGAUAAUAUAGUAUCGUACAAUUUGACCUAAGUUCUACACUAAUUGCAAAAGAAAAACAUGAUACAACUAGUGAAACUUAAAGUGUUUGAAAUUUUUGGAUUCUCCUCUAAAGGAUACAUAUAUACAUUUAACCAAGGGUUGGAAAACUUAUGAAAAAAUGUAUUAUACUCUACUAUACAACAUAUAUAGUAUAGUUUGAACGACAUUCAUUUUGUACUGAACCAUACAAAACUUCCAAAAUAGUGCACAAAUUGAUGAUAUAAGGUCAUCGAAUGUGUUAUCUGUUGGUAGAAGAAACACAUGAAACUACUUUGAACCAUAAGGGCUUUCAAUUGGCAUAAUUUAAUAUAGCAGACCCAUAUAUUACCUAAUUACUGCGCAAACAGUUGAAAGUUAUUUUAUAGUAUAAAAGAUAAUAGUAUAGAAAUGAUACAACUACUAGAUGACAAUACAAUCGUUCAUAUGUAUUGCAUAAAGUAUAUAAAAUUCCUGAAAAUUAGGUACGGCAUGUGAGUAAACAUUUAAAAAGUAGACAUAAUAACAAAGGGGGUUCUAUUCAACAAGUCACUAUAGGUAGCAUAUGAGUAGAGAAAGAACAACUUAGCGGUUCCAUCCAAUAUGUCACUAUAAGUAGCAUAUGAGUAGAUAAAGAACAACAUCAUGGUUCCAUCCAACAAGUCACUACGGGAGUUGGGCGGGGUUGAAUGUCGAGAAGGCUGCAACUGCAUAUGUCUUUCUUCGCUGCAACUGCAAGUGAUUCAUUUGUGAGUGAGGCGCACUGAUUCAGGCUCUAUGUGGCAUUAAAUUCCAAGAGCACAAGCAUUGCCACACAAAAAAACCUGAAAAAUGUAAAUCAUGUACGUUAACCAGUUUAGCACCUUCCAUAUACUAUAUACAUUUAUUAUAUAGUAUAGACACCUCAGCUGCAUCAUACAUCAGUUUAUCCUCCCCCUCUUUCCUCCCACACAGACUUUUAUCCUCCCCCUCUUUCCUCCCACACAGACUCAGAAACUUGUGUUGUGAAACAAACACAAGCAUUGACAUUCAAAUGUACAUAGAUCAUUUUAUACUUAAUAAUUGACUAUGUCUACUACACAUGUGUAUCUGUACUAUUUAAGUUUCUCAUAUAGUAUAGUCUUAUAAUUGACAUCUUACAUCAAACACAAGCAGAAUACACAAAGACAUCCAUGGAGAGGUCACGGUUUAAGGAGCGAAAUAGAAAACUACAAACUGAAAAAUGAAACUAAAAAAUAUGUUUCACAUUACCGUAUUCGUCGAUCCACUGGUAACCCACUUCAGACUAGAUCUGAAAAAAAUGGUGGUUCCGAGUAAAUUACAGUAAAUUAAUCGAGGAGAAAGAUUACACUGAAACUGAUGGUUUGUCCCCUUAUUUUAUUCAAUCAAACCAGUGUCACCUUGCUUCGUUGUCGUUUGCUCUGUAAUCGCGCCACCGUGAAAUUGAAAGCUCCGUCGUAAGACAGGUUUUGAAUCUGCAACGUCUGACGCUCUCAACAACCGAAAGUAGCAGAUUUAAUCAUUUUUCCUUUUCAAACUCGACUGACAAUCGCUCUCCCAAAUCGAUCUUGUUCUUCGCCUGAAAGAAAAUAGAAAGCGAAAAUCAUUUUUAAGUUAACGAAACCGUUUCAAUGAUGUAGAAAAAGACACAUCAACAAGUAACACUUUUCACGCGCAGGUAAGGAUAUAACCGUCAUUUUUUAGAAUAAUAUGUAUUAUAUCAUAGUCAAAACUUUGAUAUGGUUAUAAACUUAAUUUUGGCUGUGCUAUGGAUAUGCACCCUAAUUUCCCAUUUCUAAAUAUCCAAACCGUAUCGCAACGGGUACCUGAACGCUCAAGCCUAACUUAAAGUAUGUUUUAUGUUUUAUUCAAUUAGUUUUAUAUUUGAUAAAUAUUUUAUAUGUGUUGGAAUAACCCGUGAAACUAUACUAAAAAAAAUAUCAAUAAUAACGUGUUCCAGUAUAUGAUUAAAUAUUAAUGACUAUUACUAUUUAUUUUAUCAUAUAUAUCUAGUUUAAUACUUUAUCUAUAAAAAUUAUAUUAUUAUGUAUUUGGUGAGGGUUUUAAAGAAUUUGUUUCUUGCAUUUGAAGUAAAAUACAUUUGUAUAUAUGAAAUAGUAGGCAUAUAUAAUUCUUUUUAUAUUAAUAAAUAAAUUAUAAUUGAUGAUUUAAUUAAAAGUAGUGUUAAGCUAAAAUGAAUUCAUUAUUUUAAAAAUUAAUAGAUUAGUUAUUUAGUUCCUUAAUUUUAGGUUAGUGUAUAUAUUUAACAAUAAUUAAAUUAUGUAUAAAUAGAAAUAAGAGGAAACCUAAUUAAAUAUAAUGGUCUAACCUAGACUAUUUGUAAGUACAUAAAAAAUAUGACCCUAAAUUAAUAGACUAGAAGGGUAUGUUAAAAAUUCAAAAACCUUAAAGUUUGAAGGUCUAAGAGCUGCGGCUCAAAAAAGAAGGUUUAAGAGCUAAACACAGGUAUAAAACAAAUAAUAAUAAUCUGGUAUAAAACAGGGGAUGAUAUGUAGUUAUUUUCGCCAUGUUUCAUGUGAUUGAGGUACUCAGGUGAAACAAUCGAGAUCUUUAAGCAAAAAUCAAAGAAGUAUGAUUAACUGAAAACUAUAAAUAAAAUAAAAAGAGGAUAUCUGACAAGCUGCCCGAAAUCACGGAAGAAACUGUAAUCCAACUGACACGGGCAAAGAUUAAAAAUUGCUGCCCGUCGGGGAAAAAAAUAAAAGAAAUUUUUUAUUUUUAUUUUUAAUUCCAAAGUUUUUUUAUUUUUUAAAAAAUAAUAUCUCAAAGCGAAAAGGCUCCAUCAUAAAUGUGAAACUUCCCUCUUCUUCUUCUCCACUGGAAUCACCAAACCCAAACAGGGCCCACCGUGGCGCUUUACUCUCACGGCGGAGCGCCUCACCGGUGGCAGACGGUGUCGUGAUUCCCAAGAGAAGCAGCGAUGGGGCAGAGCAUGAGCUGCGGAGCUAGACCAGAGCACGAGAUAUUCGCCUCCGUGCAGCGCGGCGACAUCGUCACCGUGCGUCGAGCUAUAACGGCGGAUCCGAGUGUCGUGCGACAGACCACUGCUUACGAUCGUCACUCCCUUCUCCACGUCGCUGCUGCUAGCGGCCACAUCGAGGUCUGUUUUAGUUAGUUUUCUCGUCGGAAUCUCUUGUUUGAUUCGGUUUUAUUACUGAUGCAUUUCUGCAGAUUCUGUCAUUGCUUCUGGAACGAUCUUUAAAUCCAGAUAUGUUGAAUCGCCACAACCAGGUAACAUUUGAUGAUUCGCAUUGAUCUUUUGUUGUAAUUCUAAUGAAGCUGAUGUGAUUCGUGUAGACUCCGUUAAUGUUGGCUGCAAUGCAUGGGAGGAUCUCUUGCAUCAAGAAGCUUGCUCAAGUUGGAGCUAAUGUACGUAAGGUUUUUUUUUUUUUUUUUUGAAUUAUAUAGGAGUAUCAUGACCCUAGUCUAGAUUAUUCACGUGUUACCACGUCUUGGUUUCCUGUCCCUGGCGAUGCCGAAAUGUUAAUUUCCUAGUGGCCGGGAUUCGAACCCUGGUGGCUUCACCGUAUUGGACUUUUGCCCUCAAGAUAACCACCACGGGACCACAAUUUUUGACUAUGUUAAUGUUGGGGAUCUGCAGGUUUUGAUGUUUGAUAGUGUGAAUAGAAGAACAUGCCUGCACUACGCAGCUUACUAUGGACAUGCUGAUUGUGUUCAAGCCAUUCUUUCUGCUGCUCGCUCAACUCCCGUUGCUCUUCAUUGGUGACACUCUCUCUCUCUUUUACAUGAUCAUUAGUUAUGCAUUUUAGCUGAAAGUUUAUUUUAUACUUUGGAGUUUACUUUUCUCAGGGGAUAUGCGAGAUUUGUAAAUCUGAGAGAUGACAAAGGAGCAACACCGUUGCAUCUAGCUGCACGUCAGAGAAGUCCUGAUUGUGUGAAUGCCUUGUUGGACAGUGGCUCUCUUGUUUGUGCUUCUACUAGCCUAUACGGGUGAUGAAGCUGUUUCUGUUGAAAUUAACAUUUGUCAAUCUUUUGGGACUGAAUAAUCUCCUUGAAACAGGUCUCCAGGAAGCACAGCUCUUCAUUUAGCAGCAAGAAGCGGAUCUAUCGACUGCGUCAGAAAAUUACUAGCUUGGGGUGCUGAUCGUCUACAGAGAGACGGUUCUGGGUAUUUUUAAACAUUCUCUAUCGCCACUUUCCAAACUUGUAUUGAAAAUCUCAGUGAAUCUUGAAAUCUUUUUCCUUCAGGAGGAUACCUUAUGUGGUUGCCAUGAAAUACAAGCACGGAGCAUGUGGAGCGUUGCUUAACCCUUCUUCUGCAGAGCCUCUUGUCUGGCCAUCGCCGUUAAAGUUCAUCGGCGAGCUUAACGAGGAGGCGAAACUGCUCUUAGAGCAGGCUCUGAUGGAUGCUAACAUGGAAAGAGAAAAAGCCAUCCUUAAUGGAACUGAUUACUCCUUACCAUCACCACCACCAUCUUUCUCCGACACUGCCUCAGAUGAUGAUAACAUGUCUGAGGUAAUGUUACACAUAAAGCUUACACUGUUUGUUAAAUCCUAUAUUAAUGCGUUGUAAAAUGUGUUUUCAGAUGAGUGAUUCAGAACUGUGCUGCAUUUGCUUUGAGCAAGUGUGCACGAUAGAAGUCAAAGACUGUGGUCACCAAAUGUGUGCACAAUGCACACUUGCACUUUGCUGUCACAACAAACCGAACCCAACGACCUCAACUGUGACUCCACCGGUCUGCCCGUUCUGUAGAAGUGUCAUCGCACGGUUAGUAGUCGCUCAGAACAACAACAAGGACGAUAGGAGCAAUAGCCAAGAUGAAGUUGGUGAUGUAAGCU